rnacentral:rRNA from 1 species
CCUACGGGAUGCAGCAGUGAGGAAUAUUGGUCAAUGGACGAGAGUCUGAACCAGCCAAGUAGCGUGAAGGAUGACUGCCCUAUGGGUUGUAAACUUCUUUUAUAUGGGAAUAAAAUGUUCCACGUGUGGGAUUUUGUAUGUACCAUAUGAAUAAGGAUCGGCUAACUCCGUGCCAGCAGCCGCGGUAAUACGGAGGAUCCGAGCGUUAUCCGGAUUUAUUGGGUUUAAAGGGAGCGUAGGUGGAUGGUUAAGUCAGUUGUGAAAGUUUGCGGCUCAACCGUAAAAUUGCAGUUGAAACUGGCAGUCUUGAGUACAGUAGAGGUGGGCGGAAUUCGUGGUGUAGCGGUGAAAUGCUUAGAUAUCACGAAGAACUCCGAUUGCGAAGGCAGUUCACUGGACUGCAACUGACACUGAGGCUCGAAAGUGUGGGUAUCAAACAGUAUUAGAUACCCCUGUAGUC